GCCAGGUGUGGUGAUGCACACCUGUAAUCCCAGUGGCUCGGGAGGCUGAGGCAGGAGGAUCAUGAGUUCAAACCAGCCUCAGCAACUUAACGAGGCCCUAAGCAACUCAGCGAGACCCUGUCUCUA
rnacentral:sRNA from 1 species